ACUCCUACGGGAGGCAGCAGUGGGGAAUAUUGGACAAUGGGCGAAAGCCUGAUCCAGCCAUGCCGCGUGAGUGAUGAAGGCCCUAGGGUUGUAAAGCUCUUUCAACGGUGAAGAUAAUGACGGUAACCGUAGAAGAAGCCCCGGCUAACUUCGUGCCAGCAGCCGCGGUAAU
rnacentral:rRNA from 1 species